UACGAAGGGGGCUAGCGUUGCUCGGAAUCACUGGGCUUAAAGGGCGCGUAGGCGGGCCGCCGGUCGGAGGUGAAAGCCCCCAGCUCAACUGGGGAAGUGCCCCGAUACCGCCGGCCUGGAGGGGGUAGGGGCGUGCGGAACUUCCGGUGGAGCGGUGAAAUGCGUAGAUAUCGGAAGGAACACCGGUGGCGAAGGCGGCACGCUGGGCCCGCCCUGACGCUGAGGCGCGAAAGCCAGGGGAGCGAACGGG
rnacentral:rRNA from 1 species